GCCGGGUAGCUGGGGGUCAGCGGCAGGAAGCCGCCUCAGGACAGGAUCCUCCCAUGCUGGCCCGGCCGGGGACACGCUCACUCUUGGGCGUGGAGUGUGACUGCCCAGCUCGCAGGGAGGGAGCUGAAGGGGCAGGUGAGAAAUGCAGCUUUUAAAAAUGAUUUGACCAUCACUGUGGAGGCUUCCCUCUCCGACACCCCGGUCCACCAGCAACACUGGAGUCAGAUAACAACUGCAGCUGACAUUCUGUGGGUGUGGCUGGCCCUGAAUUCCUCUGCCUGAUGGCAGAUGCUCUUGCUGUCAUCAGUAGCAGCUCUGCACAUGGACCCCCCUGUAAGCAGGUGACGUUGCCAACAACUUGGGACCCUAUAGCAGCAAGCAGCAAGUGGGGACCAGGCCCACGGUGGCUGGCCAGUCCUUUGGGGAGAUGUUCAGUGGUCAGGCCUUGGCAGAUAAGUAGGGAUUUGUCCUCAUGAUAAUGAUAUUGUUAAUUUUCUUCUCUAUUUCCUAUUAUAAUAAUAAAAAAAAA